AGGAUUGUCUGUGUUCUCCAGUAUGGAAAGAGAGGCAAACAAGUAUGUAGCCCAUUCGUGCAACUUCUUUCUCUUCCCUACAACAUUUGGGAUUUUGGAUUCAGAAUUCUCUUUCCAGGCUUCUAGUGUUCAGUUUUUGAAUCACUAUGGCUUCAACUACAACAAGUUUCUCAAAAAUGGAAUCCCAUAUAUGAAUGAAGAACAAGAGAAGAAAAUUAAGCACAACAUUCUGUGUGGGAAUUGGAAAGUUCGCAG